AUACGUAGGUGACAAGCGUUAUCCGGAUUUACUGGGCGUAAAGGGCGUGUAGGCGGUCUUGCAAGUCAGAAGUGAAAUUCCUGAGCUCAGCUCGGGCGCUGCUUCUGAAACUGCAGGACUUGAGUGCUGGAGGGGAUAGCGGAAUUCCUAGUGGAGCGGUAAAAUGCGCAGAUAUUAGGAGGAACACCAGUGGCGAAGGCGGCCUGCUGGACGACAACUGACGCUGAGGCGCGAAAGCGUGGGGAGCAAACAGGAUUAGAUACCCUGGUAGUCCACGCUGUAAACGAUGAAUACUAGGUGUGGGGGGACUGACCCCCUCCGUGCCGCAGUUAACACAAUAAGUAUCCCACCUGGGGAGUACGAUCGCAAGAUUGAAACUCAAAUGAAUUGACGGGG
rnacentral:rRNA from 1 species